UUUAGGAAUAUAUAGACAUUUAGGAAUAUAUAGACAUUCAGGAAUAUAUAGACAUUUAGGAAUAUAUAGACAUUUAGGAAUAUAUAGACAUUUAGGAAUAUAUAGACAUUCAGGAAUAUAUAGACAUUUAGGAAUAUAUAGACAUUUAGGAAUAUAUAGACAUUUAGGAAUAUAUAGACAUUUAGGAAUAUAUAGACAUUUAGGAAUAUAUAGACAUUUAGGAAUAUAUAGACAUUUAGGAAUAUAUAGACAUUCAGGAAUAUAUAGACAUGUAGGAAUAUAUAGACAUUUAGGAAUAUAUAGACAUUUAGGAAUAUAUAGACAUUUAGGAAUAUAUAGACAUUAGCAGCCAUUAGUGCCAUUGUCAUGCAAUAUGAUGUAUAUAUUCAUAGAUUAUAAGGUGUUAUAAAUACACUUAUCCCACAUUAUUAAGGGUAUUCAUAGGAAGUGUUACCCACAGGUCCAGCAGAAGGAACUGUACCCCACAUCCCCACCUACUAGUGACAUUGUGAACAAUACCACAACUUUAGACAGGAAUUGUGUAGCUAUGUUGACAUUUGUGUUCACCGUUUCAUUAGAAUGUUUAACACAUUGAGAGUAUCGGUCAGGUCACAUGACUUUGACACCUUAUAACCUUAGUUUCAGAAAAGGUUCAUUUUCUUCACAUUAUAAUUAUUUGUUUACUUACUUGUAAUGUAUUUGAUAUGUCCUGUCUGUGGGUUGAUCUCAUAUAUUUAUGAAUGGCUUUCGCCUGAUGCUUUUUAUGGUUAGUUACCUUACAUAUGUAUUUAGUUUCAUUUCCUUAUUACAUUUUCAUUUCCAUUUUAUAGUACUAUGCAUUUUGACUGUUGGAUUGAUAUGAUCUGCUCAUACAUUUCCCUACAAGUGAGUGAGUUAAGACUAUUGUUUAGUGAACCACUCAGGUCUGAUGGAUACAGUUGUCCCUCAUACUCUCAUGUAUUAUUUGUAACAAACUUUCUGCAUGUUUCUGUAUGAGGAAACCUCUACAUUAUUGUCAUAUCUACUUUUUAGCCUGCAAGUUUAGGAGGGCUAUUCUGCAGAGUUUUGUGUGUUAUAUAAUAGAAAUGUAGAACCUAAGAUUACUUCUUAGUAUUAUAAUAUGCGUUUAAUUCCUUUUAUCAUUAAAACAUUCCUUUCCA